AUGAAAGAUUAACUUCUGCGAAAGCAUCUGCCAAGGAUGUUUUCAUUAAUCAAGAACGAAAGUUAGGGGAUCGAAGACGAUCAGAUACCGUCGUAGUCUUAACCAUAAACGAUGCCGACCAGCGAUUAGGAGACGUUGAAUACAAAACACCACCAUCGGUGCGGUCGUCCUUGGCGUCUCGGUUUCGGCCGGGGCGCGGGGACGGUUUAGCCCGGUGGCACCGGUGAAUGACUCCCCUAGCAGCUUGUGAGAAA
rnacentral:rRNA from 1 species